UACGAAGGGUGCAAGCGUUAAUCGGAAUUACUGGGCGUAAAGCGCGCGUAGGUGGUUCGUUAAGUUAGGAGUGAAAGCCCCGGGCUCAACCUGGGAAUUGCUUCUAAAACUGGCGAGCUAGAGUAUGGUAGAGGGUGGUGGAAUUUCCUGUGUAGCGGUGAAAUGCGUAGAUAUAGGAAGGAACAUCAGUGGCGAAGGCGACCACCUGGACUGAUACUGACACUGAGGUGCGAAAGCGUGGGGAGCAAACAGGAUUAGAUACCCGGGUAGUCUCU
rnacentral:rRNA from 1 species